UAGGGAAUCUUCGGCAAUGGGGGGAACCCUGACCGAGCAACGCCGCGUGAGUGAAGAAGGUUUUCGGAUCGUAAAGCUCUGUUGUUAAGGAAGAACGAGUGUGAGAAUGGAAAGUUCAUGCUGUGACGGUACUUAACCAGAAAGGGACGGCUAACUACGUGCCAGCAGCCGCGGUAAUACGUAGGUCCCGAGCGUUGUCCGGAGUUAUUGGGCGUAAAGCGAGCGCAGGCGGUUAGAAAAGUCUGAAGUGAAAGGCAGUGGCUCAACCAUUGUAGGCUUUGGAAACUGUUUAACUUGAGUGCAGAAGGGGAGAGUGGAAUUCCAUGUGUAGCGGUGAAAUGCGUAGAUAUAUGGAGGAACACCGGUGGCGAAAGCGGCUCUCUGGUCUGUAACUGACGCUGAGGCUCGAAAGCGUGGGGAGCGAACAGG
rnacentral:rRNA from 1 species